rnacentral:rRNA from 1 species
AUUGAACGCUGGCGGCAGGCCUAACACAUGCAAGUCGAACGAGUGGCGGACGGGUGAGUAAUGUCUGGGAAACUGCCUGAUGGAGGGGGAUAACUACUGGAAACGAUAGCUAAUACCUCAUACCAUCAGAUGUGCCCAGAUGGGAUUAGCUAGUAGGUGGGGUAACGGCUCACCUAGGCGACGAUACAUAGCCGACCUGAGAGGGUGAUCGGCCACACAGGGCCUGAGGCACGGCCCAGACUCCUACGGUCGGCAGCAGUAGGGAAUCUGCGGAAAUGGACGGAAGUCUGACCGAGCAACGCCGCGUGAGUGAAGAAGGUUUUCGGGUCGUAAAGCCCUGUUGUAAGGGAAGCGGUAUCUUACCAGAAAGGGACGGCUAACUACGUGUCCGCAGCCGCGGUAAUAC